GAGCUGUACGAACUAGGCGAUUAUCAUCUCGAACUCAUGGAGCAAGAUCCAAAACCCGGGAAACAAGAGUGGUCACCGGAUUCCACAUCGUACCGACAGUUUCUACACACAGGUCGUCAUACAACGCCCGUGGUCUAUUCGUCUCUACCAGCAUUGUUUUCCCGCACAAUACGGACAAUGCGAACAACUGCCUGAGGGGAAACACGUCGGUGCAAUCCACCGUCCUGUAAAUCCACUAGAGUUUACUAGAAACCGGAAGCUCACGGACGAAGUACUAACGUUGAUAAUGGCCGAUUACGAACGCGGCUGCAGAGGGAUCGAUAGCGGUAUUAACUGUCACGGCAUUGAGCAUCUCUGAGUGGAGGAAGUGCCAAGUAAAUGCGAACACGACUGUGCAAUUGACUAGGUUUAUAAUUGCCUAACAAUAAGAUGAUGUUUACUCCUUGGUAAAUGGCAAAGAAUUAGUUAUGAAACCGAUGUAUAUCUUACGUAUAUAAGUGCUGCGUUUGUCGAGAACAAGUAACGAGCGAUCGAGGAAACGAUCACCAAGGGUGCUCCAAACUCGGGAGUGGCUCGUCUUUCUGCGAUGCGUCUACGUUUUCCCCGACUUCUCUCGCAGCUGCAGGCUAUUGUUCUUUCAAUAAUGGACGAGCCACUUCGAGAUGAGGCGAAGAUCCAACAAUAAUGGCUCCGAGGAAAAUGCUAUCGAUGUACGUGUCGCAGAAUGGUACACGUGAGACCACGUAGAGAUAAUGUUUACGCUGCAGGAUGCACGCUAUAUAAAUCGACACGCAUUCCGGACACAUUUUCAUUUCCCGCCAUAUCGCAUAUCUCGCCUGUAUCUUAUAUAUGUCCCAUAUCUUUAGAUUCUAUAAAUGUGCAUUAAACUAUUUCUCGUUUUAUUUUUGCG